ensembl:lncRNA
CUCAUCCAUCCAGAUGGAGGAUCACUAACAGGAGCGUGGGAAGACUCCAGAAUCCACUCUGGCUGGAAUCCGGUGGAUACAGCAGUGUUACAGAACAGUUCUCCACAGUCACUGUCUACAUGGGUCAGUGGGACCAAGAAGCACUCUGCUAAUGUGUGGACUCUGACCAGCAACAUCCAGCAAGACCCAGGCAGCGUUUUCUAUCUCCCAGCUGGAGUUUUUUGUUUGUGACGGGAGAGUCAGAUUUUUGUUGAGGCUGGAGGAACAGCCUCACACUUGCAGAGGUUAAUACACGCUACUGAUCCCUGAUGGGAGAAUCAUCACCUCUGCCAACAAAGAAGCCUGGUGGAUGUUUGUUUGCAGUCUGAUGAUGGGACACCAUGCUCUGCAUCUUCAAAGUUUGUCUCUUGCUUAUUAUUCAUACACAGUAAUGUGAAGUAUGCUUAUAUCUAGUAUAACUGGACCAAC